GGCGCACGGGUGAGUAACACGUAAGUUACCUACCCCCGAGCCUGGGAUAACCUACCGAAAGGUGGGCUAAUACCGGAUAUGACCACGGCGGCUUCGGUCGCUGAGGUGAAAGGUGGCCUCUACUUGUAAGCUACCACUCGAGGAUGGGCUUGCGCGCCAUUAGCUAGUUGGCGGGGUAAAGGCCCACCAAGGCUAUGAUGGCUAGCUGGUCUGAGAGGAUGGCCAGCCACACUGGAACUGACACACGGUCCAGACUCCUACGGGAGGCAGCAGUGGGGGAUAUUGCGCAAUGGGCGAAAGCCUGACGCAGCGACGCCGCGUGGGUGAUGAAGGCCUUCGGGUCGUAAAGCCCUGUCGAGGGGGACGAACCGGUCGAGGUCGAAUAGGCCUCGGCUCUGACGGUACCCCUAAAGGAAGCACCGGCUAACUCCGUGCCAGCAGCCGCGGUAAUACGGAGGGUGCGAGCGUUGUUCGGAAUCACUGGGCGUAAAGCGCAUGUAGGCGGCUCUGUAAGUCUGGUGUGAAAGCCCGGGGCUCACCCCCGGAAGUGCACUGGAAACUGCAGAGCUCGAGUCUCGGA
rnacentral:rRNA from 1 species